rnacentral:lncRNA from 1 species
ACACUACAUAGAGAAUUUAAAAAUUGGUCUCUUUCUGUGUUGAAUAGCUUGGUAUCCCCAUGGACAUCUCUGACACGAGUUUGGAGAGUGGCAGCGACUGUCUUGCUGGGGAAUAGCAAACUACUGAGCAACACAGGCCUGCUGGUGUGGAGCUGGUGGGAAACCCAGACAGAGCACCCAAAGACAUUGGCCAUAGAAACAGUAAGACUGUGAGCAAUGCCGGUGUUCCAUGUACUUAAUCUGCACUGUUUCACCCAACCCUCAUGACAGCCCUUUGAAGUAGAAAUUGCAUUCUCAUUCUGCAGGUAAGGAAAUAGGGUGCUCAGGGAGGUUAGACGACUUGCCUAAAGUCACACAGCUGAGAACGGUGGAGUUUGGAUUCAAAUAUGGUUUUAUCUACCUUCAGAGGAUAAAUAAGAUAUGCAGUACGAGAAGCUAAUUACAAGAAGUAGGGAGAAACUUUCUCCACGUGGUUGACUGUAUGCUGAGAUAGUAAUGAAGGGAUAUAAAGUUUACUCCUAGAGAGAUUCUAUUUUAUUAUUUUUUUCUUUGAGACAGAGUCUCACUCUGUGGCCCAGGCUGGAGUGCAGUGGCGCUAUCUCAGCUCACUGCAACCCCCACCUCCCAGGCUCAAGCGAUCUUCCCACUUCAUCCGCCCAAGUAGCUGAAAUAUAGAUGUGUGCCACCAUGCCCAGCUAAAUUUUUGUAUUUGUUUUUUAGUAGAGAUGGGGUUUUUGCCAUGUUGACCAGGCUGGUCUCGAAUACCUGACCUCAAGUGAUCCACCUGCUUCAGCCUCCCAAAGUGUUGGGAUUACAGGCCACUGCGCCCACCUACUUCCAGAGAUUUUAAGUGAACUUCUUUCAUUUUAUAACUCUCAGUAUAGUUUAUAGUUUAUUCAGGUCUUCCUAACACCCUGUCCAAUGCAUAAGGUUGAUAUUAUUUCCUGCAUUCUGAAGUGACACAGACUUCCCCAUAUACCGCAAGGAGGAAGCAGUAGCUUCCCUGAGCUUGACAUGGCCAGCUUCCUGCUGCCCAGCCUGAGAUGCAGCUGCUGAGCUACAAUUGGCUGGAGGUGGGAGGCUGGAUCUGAGGGCCUCUGGAAAUCCCUUCUGGCUCAGGAGAGCCGUCAUUUAAAAACUGGUUUCAGCUGUGGUGGAGUCUUAGCCAUCAGUAACGUCUGUUGUUUUGAGUUUUCCUCCUAAAGUCCUUUCUUUCUGCAAGGAAAAGAAAAGAGAAUUUCAUAAAAAAAAAGGAAAGAAAACUUUUUUGUUAACACCCAAGGUAUCAUAAGGAUACAGUCAGACCCAACAUCAGAGAGACACAGACGGUGGUGACUAACAUGGGCCAACACAAGCCGAGAGUACCGGCACCCAGUGCACAAACCCCCAGCACAGGCCCAACAAGUUCAACGCAGCUCUGGUUUGGGAGGUUUUAGGAGCAAGCAGCUGUUUCAUUUUUAACCAGUGAC